rnacentral:lncRNA from 1 species
UUGUUCGUAACUGGUAGUUCAUUACAAAUAUGAGAAUCUUCACUAAUCUGCAAACAGCAGGUAGAGUGGUCAAACUGAAAAUACCCAACAUAAUAUGAUCUCCUGUUGAAACGUAGUUUUAGAUUUUAUUUUUCAAAGAGCCCUCCCUGGUUACAUAGGUAUAACAUAGAAACCCAUGAAUUAUAUACCUAACAAGUAUGAAAAUCACUAACCAGUGUUGGAGAAUCAAAAAGGGACAGACUUAUAUGUUUAAAUGAUGAAAAUACACAAACAAAAGCACAAAUCACGACAGACAAGGCAAAGAAAAA